UCCAUAUAUGAACAUUCACGUACACUGAUUUAUUGUAUUUGCAUGUAAUGUAUGCAUAUACAGAAAUAUAUGCAGAUGCCAUAUAUACAUACGUACAUAUACAUACACACACACACACACUCACACAUAUAGUAUGCAUUAUACUCCCACAUGUACACAUUCGCAAAAACACUGUCACACGUACAUUCACAUUUUCUGCAACAUUGUAAUUCGGUCACCGUCUGAAAAUUAUACGUUGUCGCAGAAAAAACAAGCGUGUGAUAAUAUAAACAACAUGCGGUGAUGCGACUUGCCUUUACAUGAAUUGAAGCAAUAUGCGAGAAUGCAAUGUCGCUACUGAAAAAACACUAGGAUGCAAACUUUCUAUUUAUGCCUUCAUGUCUGUGGCUACAGUGAAUUAUGGAAGAAGAUAUUUUGAGUAAUGAAUUACAAACACACUUAUUAUAAAUACGAUAUGUAUUAAAGAAU
rnacentral:lncRNA from 1 species